rnacentral:tRNA from 1 species
GGCUGGAGAGAUGGCUCAGUAGUUAAGAGCACUGACUGUUCUUCCAAAGGUCCUGAGUUCAAUUCCCAGCAGCCA